UACAACAAACAGGGAUUUCUUUUUUUUUUGUUUAAAGUUUUAAUUAGUCGGAGUAAGGUACGAGCGAGGAACCCACCUUCGAGCUGCUUUCUGUCCGUCGGCACGCUGCGGUUUCUCCUCCGCUCCACUAGGCGGCGCAGGCAGCCUUCACGUUCACACCAACACCUUUCUAAAGACAGUAGCAGCGAUACAUUUCUAACUUUUUGUCUUCAUAAAAGUACACUUUCUGCAGAUGACGGCUUAGCGACAGACUCGCAAUGUAACCACACGUUUCAUCCCGACGGCAAAAACAACCGACACGCGCCGUGAAGAAGAGAAGGAAUCGACUCACCUGUGUUUUUAAUUAAGGUUGGGGCUAAACUCUGGGAAGCAGCUCACCUGGAACAUGGAGGAAAAAAAAUAAUUCUCGCAUGGUUUUAAUGCACAUUAUAUUCACAGGAGGGAGCUUAUUGACACACGCUGAUAUGGUGUAAUCCAUGUGCCUUUACCUAAAACGUUGCCAACAACAGCUGCACCUUCAGUUUGUCAUUUCAUGAAGUUUUAGUAUUUUCAGCGCUUCUUAAUAUCACCCAUAGUACUGCAGCAAUGGUACUUGAUUAUUACGCCGGAAUGAGUGUAUAGCUCGUAACCAUAUGGUCCUAGAAAAUAGCGGUUUUUCAUUUUCCGUUUGGCACUAAUAUAUGAAGUGAAACGGAAUGCAUUUCCCCAUAGGCUCCACUAGGCGGAGCGAUCGGGCUUCAGCUUCAUUCUGACACCUUGACAACACGUGCAGACUGUUUUAAUUACAAGCCCUGCAGAUGACAGCUCCCUGACACAAUCAUGUAACUCAACAGCACUUAUUCCAGCCAUACACAAACAAAUCAGACGCACAGUAAUAAAGUGACGGGAUCAUUUGUUACCAAUGCCUUGUAUUCUUGUAAAUGUGAAGAUUGCCAUCCAUUUUUUUACUCUUCUUUUUUGAAGUCACUAUAUUUACAAUGCAAGUAAAUCUACAUUAUCUAAAAUAAAUAGCAUAUACUGUAAAUAAAUAUAGAUUGCAUCGUUACUGAAUGCAGUUUCUAUUUUUACAAGUGUCUGCAUGUUCUUCAUAUGACAUUUGUCUUUACAUAUAAAAGGUUAAACCUGCGAAAUGUUUAUUGCUUUGGUCUGCAAUAUGAAUUAUGCAUAUGGAGUUUGAUUUGAUCAUCACAGAAUUCUUUUUUUAAAAAGGUGAAAUAGCUGCAUGGGCUAUUUUUGGUAUGCUUCUGUAUAAGAAAAAUGUUGCAUGUAUUAUUCAAAUCUAAAAUGCACCGAACAUGAAGGAAAACAUGGCCCUCGGGUUACGCUAAAUAUCAAUUUUUUAUUCUUAAAAACCAUACACGAUACUCGACAAGUUUAAAAUGUAAGUUAAAUCACGAUAUCCAUUUACAUUGCGCAAGAUAAACAGACAUGUUCUUUUAUUUCCAAACUUUAAGAUAAAAAAAAAAACCUUAAAACAGAUGGAUAAACAUUCAUUCCCAUUAUAGGAAGACGCUAUAGAAAAAAAGUUAUGUAUUCUUUUAAUAUAUCUGCUCUAAAUCGCAAACUUAAGCAGUUUUUUUUAUUUAAUAAACAUGAAAAACGAAAUAACUUAUCCAAAAAAAGAAAAAAAAAAAUGUGCAGUUGCGAUGACUGAAAAAAUGCAAAUCCCUUUCUCCUGUUUUUCUUCCUUUCUUCUCCUUUGUCACACCCUUAAUGAACCAACGAGUGGAGAGAAGCAAGUCUGAACUGGAACCCUGCUGCCAAAAUAAUAAUUAAAAAAAAAAAUCUAGUCCUAAAUAUUACAAAAAACACAAAACAUGUUAGAAUUUUGACCAUAAGUUUCAUGCUAUAAGCCACCCUGAGUAAUAUAUUACUUGGAGAACCAAUCACGACCCUUGUUUAAAGAGUGCCCGCCCCCCCAUGAAUAUAAUUUAUGUAAAAUCCCUGUAGGUCUGGUUCAGCAGGUUGAGAUGUUGUCAUUUCCGCAUAAAAAUACAAUUUAUAUGGUCUGUAUCAAAACUUUCCUUGGGAAUCUGAAAUAAAGAACCCUGUGCUGCGAUACCAGUGUUACACACGUUGUCUUUAAAAUUCUUCAUGUUGAUUCCUUUGCGUUUCCAGUAUUUCAGGUCUUAAAUAUAUUCUAAAAACAAUUGCAGCAAUAUUUUUUUUAACGGACAGCAAUUUUUAUGGAAUAUGAAGGAAAAUAUAUAAUACAAACUAUCAUUUUUCAUAUGAUCAACAAACAAAACACUUGAGGAUUUUUUUUUUCAAAAAAACAAAAAACAAAAAAACAUGAAACAAAUUUUGAAAACAAUUUACUCAUUUUCCUCCUUUUAUUUUUCCUUUUAACUGAGACAGCAAUUUACUACCUAAAAGACAAUCUUAAGUUAAAAUGCUUUACUCUUUAAUCAUUGCAUCCUUUUCAAUUCAGUCUGCUAGUUGGUUUGUUUUUUUUCAGCCUGAGUAAACAAACUUAUGAUACAUUGGCAGGAACUUAAUGUCUUGAUGUCAAUGAACUGACUGUGGACCAUUUCAAACAGUUAAAUAACAGAUGCAUUCAUUCUUUAAAGGCGACCUGGACCUCCACUUCAAAAAAAACAAAAAAAAAACAUCACACCUUUUAAAGCGUGAAGACUCCAGCUCCAGCCAUUUCAGAUACUCCUUAACUUCCAAAUGAGAAUGAGACAUGAAACUCGGAACUUAAAAAUAAAACCAACCAUGACUUUAAGGGGUGAAGUAGUAAGUAUGAGAGGAGAUUUAUGGACAGAGAUCCUCGUCUACGGCUCCCUCUCCUCGCCCAUUCAAUGAAACAAAAAAAAACAAAACAAACAAAAAAAACCUCCCAUGGACCU